rnacentral:snoRNA from 1 species
UUUGAGAUGACACCCUUGCCCUCACUCAGAUGGUCAUUUGGUGAUGAAAACCUUGCUACUUACACUCAGCUGGUGAGCCAAA